ACUACACCCGCAUAUAGUGGCAACCUGGUAACAUCUGGGAUCUGGGAUUCUAUAUUUAGAACUGAAUUUUAUUAAGCUGCAACAGCUAGAGUUGUAAUUUUGCAUGAAACUGCCAGUUGACAACCGGCAUGAGGCUGUGCACAGCUGCCUGACCCUUCCGGACAUGUUUGCCUACCUUCAUACUGCGCAUGCCAAUUUGGAUGUCACUUGCCUGCAGUCCCGCUGUGCAACAGAAACCGCGAGAUUUGUACUUCAUAACAUGGCUUCCGCGAGGUCGUACGAGAUUUCAAGCCGACCAAAACUCUCAAUGAUGUUUGUGGUACGCAGAUUUGUAGCGGCCUAAGUAGUUUAUUAGCUGACAGUCGGGGCAGGGCCGUGCAUGGUUGUCAUGUGUUCGGAGCUUCCGGAGACGUGUACUGAACGAGAGGGUCGAACUUCCCAUGGAAAUAAAAGAUUACUGUUCUAUUGGUGCUUGCUUAUUUGGUGCAAGCUUAGGCUGACAACCUCAGUAAUUUUGACAGUUCUUCCUUGUAAAUGGUAUGCAAUCAGACAAGAAUUUUGCAUGGAUUGUAACUCUAAAUGUGGUUUUGUAACUCGAUACCUGUGCUGGAGCACCGUACAUACGCAUAUGCUUAUUAUAUGGGCAAUUUGCCACUCAAUAAGUGUUAAAAAACCUGAGUUAUUACGACGGAUCGUAAACAGUUGUUUAAGGAAAGGGUUAUCAAAUAAUCUUUCAUUAAUUUUACACGAUAUUAAAAGGUCAUUUGGUAAGGCUAGUGUAUGGCUCCCCUUUAUUGGCCGUAAUUCUAAACGAUAUCAGUUCGUACGAGGGUUAUAAAGUUCACAUGAAAAGCCCGUUAUCCUGCGAUAUUGAAUGCAUAGCUCUUCGAGCACUGGGAAAUUCCUGCAAAUUAUCAUAGACUUGGUGCAUAACCUUGCGCAGCAGGUUCAACUGAUGAUGUUUCACCUUAGGUAACUACCGACAUCCAGUGCUUGCUAUAGACUCGUGCAGGACUCGCACCACUAAACAUCUAGGUAUGCAUAAUUACAUUAGCACCACCGUCAGCUACUUGAGGGUGUGAAUAUUUAUAAUUACUCGAGGGGUUUAGAGAGCACACAAGUAAAUGACCUAUAACUAGGGCAUGAAGAAUAAUAUUAGAAACAAAACGUAUUGAUGCCUUACCAAACAUUUACAGUUUUGAAUUGAUACAAGUCUUGACUAUAUCGUUAAUUUAAAUGGUGUUUUUUUGUUGGAUUAUGAACUAUUAUUGUUUGAAAUCCACUCACUACAAUGCAAUCGAUGCUUCAUCUUCUUUGUUCUUGAGUUAAACUCUAACCACUGAUAUAAUUGGCUCAUAUUGAUAAUGUUCUGAAUUACCAGCCAAUCAAACAGGUCGUAACAAAAUGCUUGUGUCAUUAAAUGACAUUUACUCCACGUGGUAUUUGCCGCGCAUCAGUCAGUGUCACGAACCCAGUCCAUGUCAUAAGUCAAUUCCCUCCUUCCUAUGUUAGCUAGCCUUUUCACCUCUAUCUAUAUAUAACUCGUUAGUUUACAAUCGGCCGUUCAAAACACUUUCAAUAGGGUUUUUCUCCUGAUUGUUCAGCGACAGUGCUAUGUGUCAUAUGAAAAGUGUCCACACAAUGGCAAGGGCAAUAUUUUCGAACAACCCUUGACACAUUUUGCUUUCAUCCAGUGGCUUGUCAAAAGGAUUUGAAUUACUUUGAGCUGUAUUAUUUUCGGAAACUAUGAAGAUUAGUAUAUUGUAUCAGUGACUGACAUACCCGUGGGUUUAUGAUGCAGCAGGCAUUGACAUACACGUGUCCGGACAUUGUUGGUAGCUGAACACAUCAAACAUUCCAUACUUGUAUCUACAUAUACUGCCUGAAUAGGUGUGUUAGCUCGUCCUUGUACAACAAGGACAGGCUGUGCAGAUGAUAUUAAGAAACACGGCAACAUUUACAAUCACCGUACGUCACUGCCACCAUUCUGUAUGGGUGGAAGGUUAAUUCAGUUGGUCUUAAAGAUGCUUGUACCAUUUGAGGUUACCAAGUGUACUUGCGUGAUUGUCUGAAUAUUCGCACUUGAUUUUUUAUUUAACUAGAACGAACAUAGCGAUAAUUAUAAGUAGCUUUUCUUAAUUAAGACAAACCAAUAAUUCAUAGGUCGUCGUUCGGCGCUAUUUGAUAAAUUAAGAUAUAAAAUGUGUUAUUAUAAGUAGCUUUUCUUAAUUAGGAUCUAUUCAAUAAUUCAUGGAUCGUCGUUCGGCGGUAUUUGGUGGAUUAGGAUACACGAAGCCGCUCUAUUCUUUACUGCAAAUAUUCUUGGUCUUCCUAAUUUUAUCAGUCAAGUUCACUGGACUCCUUUUAUAGAGGGUCCAUUGAAAGCGGUGAAUGAAAUCGCCAGGUCGUGGUUCCGUCGGGUCAUUCAUCUGGGUAGGGGGGAGAGGGGUUAGUGGGGCAAGGCUUCCCCUAGAGCUCCUCAAAAUAUGUUUUAUGUCUGUUGCUUCUAUUACUGAGUAUGUUCCCACAUGUCCCCGACCUGGUAACGUACCCCAGUGGCAGCAGACACAGAAGAUGCCGUCUCCUCCUCCUCAUCCCCCUCCUCCGUCCUGCUUCGAGUACAGGGAGUGGUAGGAGAUGAAUCGGCAAUUGUCGGAAUCCAUGAUUACGCCAUCGCCAUUACUAAUACUUAGUCAUUCAAUGUAGGGACACCACACCGGGUAGAAGAAACAGGGGCCAAGUAUCAUAUAUACAUGAACAUAUAAUGUUCUUCAAACAUAUUGACAUGCAAUUAUUAAGAAUAGAAAAAGAAUCGACGUGUCAUUUUUACCCGAGUUUUUUUUACUAUUUCCUGCUCAGAUUUUGUUGAAAGACUUGUAGUCAGUGCACGACGAACCACCUCCCUGUGAAGUUGAGAAACCUUUACAUUUCUACCCAAAUGCUGUGUUCAUCCAAGCGCCUCUACAGCCUUCGCCUACGUACUUUUCCCAUAUGCUUUUGAAAACUCCGUUUUAUUCAUUUGCAAAAGCUGAGGCUUUCCCCAUUACCACUUGGCUAUGGGAUGUGUAGGGACGAGCGGACGGGUGCUACCCCGUGUGUACCGUCGGGCCGCCUGGCUUAUGUCUGGGAGAUCUAUCAAGUGUGGAUAGGAAGGGGAUAGCUUUCAUUUGAGAUAAUUCAUUGAACACGUGUGUGCAAGAUCAACACCGCAACAUAUUAAGGCUCAGAUUCAAACCGUGUUUCCCUUUUUUCAAUGAAAAUUUGACUGACGAGUCUAUAUCGUGACUAUGAAAAGGACUAUCCUGCUAGAGCCGAUGAAACUGUUGAUCGUGAGAUAUUCAGGCGGUAAUGUCAUUUUACUCUACCAAUCUUGAAGCAAGUUUGCCGCGCCUGUACUCGUCAAGCGUUGCUGACGGGAGAGAGUGAAGCGCUUGUCGAUAUGAAAGCUUGUUCACUCUUGCGUGGCUUGUGUUAAUAUUUAGGUCAUCGGUCUUAGAUGCGAAUCGUCCGACAUAUUGGCAGGCGAAGAGCUGAUUCGCUCCGUCAGUCCGCCGGCCAGAGAGCAUCAGGCAGCAUGAGAGACCGCGCCAGAACACAGACGGAUCUCGCCGAGACUGGACGUGCCCUGUCCACUUCUGGUCACCGUUAGGUGGAUGCUGGCGGAGAUUGGACUGAGAUCGGACGAGAACGAGACAUUGGUGAUGUACGUCGGCAACAUCGUCAAGGCAUGAGGUGCAAAUUGCCCGGACAUACCGACUGUCCCCUAGUUACCAAGGCAACUAACUCAACAAGUCUAAAUUUCUCGUAAACUGAUGGGCCUUUUUUCUGUGUCGAGACUGCUAGAAGUGAGUCGAGAGUAGAACAGCGGGGGAGACGGUUUAGUCCCGAGUCCAUUGUCUCCUCCCUACUGGACAACAUCGGCUGUGGGCCAGGAUAUCUCACGACAUUUGCACAUAUUGCUGGACGUAUUUGGAUUAUCGCUCGCGGUGUUUUUGUCCUCAUGUGAAUUCUCCUGUGAUGCGAAAACACACGCCUGGUAACACCCGGCAUGACUGGAGUUUACCGUGCUGCCAUCCCCGGGAACCUGCCCCACCCCACGGGAUCUGCUCCCACUCACGGGCACCUGCUUCAUCUUUGCGAAGGUCUAGUACCUGGAAACUGUGGUCAAGACGAAGGCUCUGUUUAUGUCUUUGGUUAUCUAGCUGUAUGAUUGUUGUUGAAAUAUCAUAAAGCUAGGUUACCAAAGGCAAAAAUGGUAGCCAUAUUCAGCAACAGAUUACGGAGGAACAGGUGUGUUUAUUUAAAUCAUUUUUUAUUUCCAUAGAAUACUUAAAAUACUAUUUUUUAAUUCCCUUUCUAAGUAUUAUGUCAAUUAAAACACUUUGAUCUCGUCAGAAUUAUUUAUUUGGCUUUUACAAAAUUGAUUAAAAUUAAUUUCAUAGAAAUACUAAGAACGUUAGGUGAUUUCAGUAAUUUUUAUACGAGAACUGUUGAAUAUAGAUGACGAGAAAUUAAGUUUUAAAUUAGCUUUUGUUUUAUAUAAAAUUUCACAAUUUUCUGUAUUAUCUAUUUGAAAAAAAAUCAAAAUGAAUAAAUUUCUCAUUGACUAUAUGUACACUUUCUUUGUCUUUCUCCCGUCUCGGGAACGGAUCUUACUGUGGGAUAUAUAUGUUGUAACGCAAUGUAUACCUAUGAAUCUUGUUCAAAUGCAAAUGAGUAAAUUGCAUUUUCAAUACUGUGGUAUUACGUUUUAUGAAUUAUUCAUAUCGAGCCAACAUUUGCAUGACUAUUUUGAGAGUAUUCUUUUGAAAUAAAUUCGAACCGUUGUUGCGAUA
rnacentral:lncRNA from 1 species